rnacentral:rRNA from 1 species
ACUUAUGACACCCCGUGGCUAAUACUACCCAGUUAUGCAACUACACACCACAGCAAUUCACGCAACUGAAAAAACGUCUGUUCAAGCCGGACCAGCUGGAUCCUAAUAAGCUAGCCACUCCUCCCACCCACAAGAUAACACCUUUUUUUAACAAACCAUUUUUCCACCUAAGUAUGUGAGACAGAAAAGGACAUAAGCGCCAUAGAAAGAGUACCGCAAGGGAAAGCUGAAAGAGUAAUGAAACAAUUUAGUCAAGGAAUAAAAAGCAGAGACCACCCUCGUACCUUUUGCAUCAUGAUUUAGCUAGCACAUUCAAGCAAAGAGCCCUUUAUGUUUGAAACCCCGAAACUGGGCGAGCUACUCCAAGUCAGCCUAUUACUGGGCCAACCCGUCUCUGUUGCAAAAGAGUGGGAAGAACUUCGAGUAGAAGUGACAGACCAAUCGAGCCCAGUCAUAGCUGGUUGUCUGAGAAAUGAAUAGAAGUUCAGCCUUUUAAGUUCUUUCACCAUACCAGUCCUUUACUGAUUAAGCCUAAAAGAAAUUAAAGGAGCUAUUCAAGAAAGGAACAGCUCUCUUGAAAAAAGAAACAACUUUUACAGAAGAUAAAAGAUCACAACCUUAAAGGCAUCCCCCAAAGUAGGCUUAAAAGCAGCCACCUUGACAGAUAGCGUCAAAGCUUAGGUUUUCCCCUUACCAAAAAAUUUUGAUCCAAACAUCUUAAAUCCCUCCUCCUACCAGACCCCCCUAUGCACCCAUAGGAGAGACACUGCUAAUAUGAGUAAUAAGAGGGUUAGGCCCUCUCCUUGCACCCGUGUACCUCAGAUCGGACUCCGACUGAAGAUUAACGCCCUCAAAAGAGAGCCGUAGGACAUCCCCAAAAAACAAGAUGAACCCGUACAAAGUAAACGUUAACCCCACACAGGAAUGCCCUAGGAAAGACAAAAAGAAAAAGAAGGAACUCGGCAAACAUUAGGUCUCGCCUGUUUACCAAAAACAUCGCCUCUUGAGUAUUAAACCGGUACCUGCCCCCCCCCCUUUUUAACUCACACAUAAGAGGUCUCGCCUGCCCAGUGACACAAGUCUUAAACGGCCGCGGUAUUUUGACCGUGCAAAGGUAGCGUAAUCACUUGUCUUUUAAAUGAAGACCCGUAUGAAAGGCACCACGAGGACCAAGCUGUCUCCUAUUUCUAGUCAAUGAAAUUGAUCUGCCCGUGCAGAAGCGGACAUAACACCAUAAGACGAGAAGACCCUAUGGAGCUUUAGACGGGAAGAGCCCACGAUACCAAUCAACCCCCAAAACAAUUGGAUCUAAGAUACGUGACCCCCCUCUUCCACUGUCUUUGGUUGGGGCGACCACGGGGAAACAAAUAACCCCCACGAGCGAAUGGGCCCACCCUCUAUCCGCCGACCCCUUAUAUAAGAGCUACAACCCAAGUAAACAAAAUAUUUGACCUCCUAGAUCCGGCCCGCCGAUCAACGGACCCAGUUACCCUAGGGAUAACAGCGCAAUCCCCUUUCAGAGCCCCUAUCGACAAGGGGGUUUACGACCUCGAUGUUGGAUCAGGACAUCCUAAUGGUGCAGCCGCUAUUAAGGGUUCGUUUGUUCAACGAUUAAAGUCCUACGUGAUCUGAGUUCAGACCGGAGUAAUCCAGGUCAGUUUCUAUCUAUGAAAUACUUUUUUGCAGUACGAAAGGACCCAAAAGAGGGGGCCACUACUUAAAGUACACCCUCCCCUAAACUGAUGAAAACAAAUGAUAUAAAUGAAAGGGUAUUUUCCCUGUGUAGAAGAAACCUACAA